rnacentral:rRNA from 1 species
ACCUUGCCGGCAUGUCCUACACAUGCAAGUCGAGCGGUAGCACAGAGAGCUUGCUCUCGGGUGACGAGCGGCGGACGGGUGAGUAAUGUCUGGGAAACUGCCUGAUGGAGGGGGAUAACUACUGGAAACGGUAGCUAAUACCGCAUAACGUCGCAAGACCAAAGUGGGGGACCUUCGGGCCUCAUGCCAUCAGAUGUGCCCAGAUGGGAUUAGCUAGUAGGUGGGGUAACGGCUCACCUAGGCGACGAUCCCUAGCUGGUCUGAGAGGAUGACCAGCCACACUGGAACUGAGACACGGUCCAGACUCCUACGGGAGGCAGCAGUGGGGAAUAUUGCACAAUGGGCGCAAGCCUGAUGCAGCCAUGCCGCGUGUGUGAAGAAGGCCUUCGGGUUGUAAAGCACUUUCAGCGGGGAGGAAGGCGAUAAGGUUAAUAACCUUGUCGAUUGACGUUACCCGCAGAAGAAGCACCGGCUAACUCCGUGCCAGCAGCCGCGGUAAUACGGAGGGUGCAAGCGUUAAUCGGAAUUACUGGGCGUAAAGCGCACGCAGGCGGUCUGUCAAGUCGGAUGUGAAAUCCCCGGGCUCAACCUGGGAACUGCAUUCGAAACUGGCAGGCUAGAGUCUUGUAGAGGGGGGUAGAAUUCCAGGUGUAGCGGUGAAAUGCGUAGAGAUCUGGAGGAAUACCGGUGGCGAAGGCGGCCCCCUGGACAAAGACUGACGCUCAGGUGCGAAAGCGUGGGGAGCAAACAGGAUUAGAUACCCUGGUAGUCCACGCCGUAAACGAUGUCGAUUUGGAGGUUGUGCCCUUGAGGCGUGGCUUCCGGAGCUAACGCGUUAAAUCGACCGCCUGGGGAGUACGGCCGCAAGGUUAAAACUCAAAUGAAUUGACGGGGGCCCGCACAAGCGGUGGAGCAUGUGGUUUAAUUCGAUGCAACGCGAAGAACCUUACCUGGUCUUGACAUCCACAGAACUUUCCAGAGAUGGAUUGGUGCCUUCGGGAACUGUGAGACAGGUGCUGCAUGGCUGUCGUCAGCUCGUGUUGUGAAAUGUUGGGUUAAGUCCCGCAACGAGCGCAACCCUUAUCCUUUGUUGCCAGCGGUUCGGCCGGGAACUCAAAGGAGACUGCCAGUGAUAAACUGGAGGAAGGUGGGGAUGACGUCAAGUCAUCAUGGCCCUUACGACCAGGGCUACACACGUGCUACAAUGGCAUAUACAAAGAGAAGCGACCUCGCGAGAGCAAGCGGACCUCAUAAAGUAUGUCGUAGUCCGGAUUGGAGUCUGCAACUCGACUCCAUGAAGUCGGAAUCGCUAGUAAUCGUAGAUCAGAAUGCUACGGUGAAUACGUUCCCGGGCCUUGUACACACCGCCCGUCACACCAUGGGAGUGGGUUGCAAAAGAAGUAGGUAGCUUAACCUUCGGGAGGGCGCUACGCACGUUGGAUCGUUGCC